ensembl:rRNA 5S_rRNA 5S ribosomal RNA
GCCUACGGCCAUACCCCCCUGAAAGCGCCCGAUCUCGUCUGAUCUUGGAAGCUAAGCAGGGACGGGCCUGGUUAGUACCUGGAUGGGAGACCGCCUGGGAAUACCGGGUGCUGUAGGCU